CCUGGUUGAUCCUGCCAGUAGUCAUAUGCUUGUCUCAAAGAUUAAGCCAUGCAUGUCUAAGUUCAAGCGAAAAUAAAGUGAAACCGCGAAUGGCUCAUUACGUCAGUUAUGGUUCCUUAGAUCGCACUUACUACUUGGAUAACUGUGGUAAUUCUAGAGCUAAUACAUGCGCUGGGCUCCAACCCUCGUGGAAGGAGCGCUUUUAUUAGAUCAAAGCCAAUCGGGCCUUCGGGUCCGUUUACUUGGUGACUCUGAAUAACUUUGCUGAUCGCAUGGUCUCGUACCGGCGACGUAUCUUUCAAGUGUCUGCCUUAUCAACUGUCGAUGGUAGGUUAUGCGCCUACCAUGGUGGUAACGGGUAACGGGGAAUCAGGGUUCGAUUCCGGAGAGGGAGCCUGAGAAACGGCUACCACAUCCAAGGAAGGCAGCAGGCGCGCAAAUUACCCACUCCCAGCUCGGGGAGGUAGUGACGAAAAAUAACGAUACGGAACUCUUACGAGGCUCCGUAAUCGGAAUGAGUACACUUUAAAUCCUUUAACGAGGAUCUAUUGGAGGGCAAGUCUGGUGCCAGCAGCCGCGGUAAUUCCAGCUCCAAUAGCGUAUAUUAAUUUUGUUGCGGUUAAAAAGCUCGUAGUUGGAUCUCGGUUUCGGGCGAGUGGUGUACCUUGCGGUAUUUACUGUUUGCCCGGACGAUUUUGUUGGUUCGUUUAUGGUUCUCUUAACCGAGUGCCAUAAGUGGCCAGCACGUUUACUUUGAAAAAAUUGGAGUGCUCAAAGCAGGCGCUACAGCCUGAACAUUAGUGCAUGGAAUAAUGGAAUAGGAUCUCGGUUCUAUUUCGUUGGCUUUCGGAGUCGAGGUAAUGAUUAAUAGGGACAGACGGGGGCAUUCGUACUGCGACGUUAGAGGUGAAACUCUUGGAUCGUCGCAAGACGAACUACUGCGAAAGCAUUUGCCAAGAAUGUUUUCAUUAAUCAAGAACGAAAGUUAGAGGUUCGAAGGCGAUCAGAUACCGCCCUAGUUCUAACCAUAAACGAUGUCGACCGGCGAUCCGUUAUCGUUAACUGAAUGACUUAACGGGCAGCCUCCGGGAAACCAGAGUGUUUGGAUUCCGGGGGAAGUAUGGUUGCAAAGCUGAAACUUAAAAGAAUUGACGGAAGGGCACCACCAGGAGUGGAGCCUGCGGCUUAAUUUGACCCAACACGGGAAAUCUCACCAGGCCCGGACACCGGAA
rnacentral:rRNA from 1 species